ensembl:lncRNA
CUCAAAACGUGCGUACACCACCUCCUGAGCUGGCGUAGGAUUUGAGAGUGCCGUACGCCAACGUCCAUAUUGAUAAAUCUCAAAGUCACCGUGGUUUUGGGUGUACGCCAGGUAUACGCUGGAAAUUUGGUGUACGCACUUUUGAUAAAUGAGGGCCAUUGAGUGUAUAAGCUGUCAAACUGUUAAAUGUCUGUAGCAUAUGCUGAAACUGAAAGUUGCAAGUAGAAGAACAGGAAAUCUUAUUUAGGCUGUUGCUGCGGAGAGAGCAGAUUUAGCUUGUGUGUCAGAAUUAAUAACACACACACAUAUUCUGGACAGGGUUGAAUUAAGAUUAGACAAGACUGAAACCACAAAGUGCAAAGAUGACGCUUGUACUGCAUUUACAUAUAUAAGGUAUAGAACGUAAACUGGACCAAUGGCACACAUGCUUGGCAUAUUCAACCCCCACUUUUCGGCGUGUUUGAAGUAUAAAUAAUGCUGAUGUGACUGCUGAAUUUCAGACAUUGUGCAGCGACACUGUCUCCAGAAGCUUCUGUAAUAAACGGAAUAUACGGCACGGUAAUUGACCUGACUCCUGGUGUUUUAUUCUCCUUUCCAACAAACCAACUCAGGGAAGUGUUAGACUUCAAAAAUGUUGGGGGCUUCGUCCGGGAUUGGAUAAAGGAGAAGGAAUUCAAUCCGGUCAAGCUGACCUACACGGAAUUCACAGGUUCCAGGGCCGGCGCAUCAAAAAGAAUUCACCAACAUAGUCGGAGAAAGGAA